rnacentral:rRNA from 1 species
AUCAAUAAGCGGAGGAAAAGAAACCAACAGGGAUUACCUCAGUAACGGCGAGUGAAGCGGUAACAGCUCAAAUUUGAAAGCUAGCUCUUUGAGGGUUCGCAUUGUAAUUUGUAGAAGAUGCUUCGGGUGUGGCCCCGGUCUAAGUUCCUUGGAACAGGACGUCAUAGAGGGUGAGAAUCCCGUAUGUGACUGGGUGCUUUCGCUCAUGUGAAGCUCUUUCGACGAGUCGAGUUGUUUGGGAAUGCAGCUCUAAAUGGGUGGUACAUUUCAUCUAAAGCUAAAUAUUGGCCAGAGACCGAUAGCGCACAAGUAGAGUGAUCGAAAGAUGAAAAGCACUUUGGAAAGAGAGUUAAACAGUACGUGAAAUUGUUGAAAGGGAAGCGCUUGCAACCAGACUUGCGCGCUGAUGAUCAUCCGGGCUUCUGCCCGGUGCACUCGUCUGCGCUCAGGCCAGCAUCGGUUUCGGUGGUGGGAUAAAGGCCUUGGGAAUGUAGCUCCUCUCGGGGAGUGUUAUAGCCCUCGGUGCAAUGCCGCCUACCGGGACCGAGGACCGCGCUUCGGCUAGGAUGCUGGCGUAAUGGUUGUAAGCGACCCGUCUUGAAACACGGACCAAGGAGUCUAACAUCUAUGCGAGUGUUUGGGUGUCAAACCCAUACGCGUAAUGAAAGUGAACGGAGGUGAGAACCCUUAAGGGUGCAUCAUCGACCGGUCCUGAUGUCUUCGGAUGGAUCUGAGUAAGAGCAUAGCUGUUGGGACCCGAAAGAUGGUGAACUAUGCGUGAAUAGGGUGAAGCCAGAGGAAACUCUGGUGGAGGCUCGCAGCGGUUCUGACGUGCAAAUCGAUCGUCAAAUUUGCGUAUAGGGGCGAAAGACUAAUCG